ensembl:misc_RNA Metazoa_SRP Metazoan signal recognition particle RNA
GCCGGGUGUGGUGGCUCACACCUGUAAUCCCAGCACUUUGGGAGGCCCAGGUGGGUGGAUCACCUGAGGUCAGGAGUUUGAGAACAGCCUGACCAACAUGGAGAAAUCCCAUCUCUU